CACACGACUCUCGGCAACGGAUAUCUCGGCUCUCGCAUCGAUGAAGAACGUAGCGAAAUGCGAUACCUGGUGUGAAUUGCAGAAUCCCGCGAACCAUCGAGUCUUUGAACGCAAGUUGCGCCCGUGGCCACUCGGCCGAGGGCACGCCUGCCUGGGCGUCACGC
rnacentral:rRNA from 1 species